rnacentral:misc_RNA from 1 species
AAGGUUCCAUGAAUAAAAGAAAAAAAUCUUCUGUAUAAGCAUCUUGAAUGCUAAGGUGACAGCUGCACUUGAAUGCUAAAACUCGAUUGGCAGAAAGCAUUUUAUCUGGACUAGAUUUCCCUCUAAAGUGGAAAGCAUGCUGAAAAUGUUCUGCACAUAUUGUCUUAUAAUCAGCCAUAGUACAUUCUCCUGUAAUGAAUACUAGUAAGGAGA